rnacentral:lncRNA from 1 species
UUGAGAAGGAUAAAAAUUCUAAUCAAAAGAAAAAUUACAAAUUGAAGGGGAAUUGUCAUAGGUGUAGAAAGUUUGACUACAAAUUUUAAGAUUGCAUGGUGAAGCUCAAACAAUCUAAUAUUGCAUCCUCUAUUGUAGAGCAUGGGGGAGAGAAGAAAACUAGUAGUUGGGCUCUCACUAUUACUAUUGUUGAUUUUAGUUAUCUUGAUAGCCAGUAUGCUAUAUUGGUUCAUAUGAGUUAUAAGAGACUUCAAGAUUUGAAUCGGGGGAAACUUGA